rnacentral:rRNA from 1 species
UACGGGGGGAGCAAGCGUUGUUCGGAUUUACUGGGCGUAAAGGGCGCGUAGGCGGUCGUGACAAGUCACUUGUGAAAUCUCCGGGCUUAACUCGGAACGGUCAAGUGAUACUGUCGGACUAGAGUACAGAAGGGGCAACUGGAAUUCUCGGUGUAGCGGUGAAAUGCGCAGAUAUCGGGAGGAACACCAGUAGCGAAGGCGGCACUCUGGGCCGGUACUGACGCUGAGGAGCGGAAAGCGUGGGGAGCAAGCAGGG